CCUUGACUGCACUGGAUCCAACUUGCUCCAUUUCAACUGACACUCUGGCCAGAGCUUCGGGUCAUACUACCUUCCCAGCUGGUGCUGUCCCUUCCAGAGAGCCAAGCUGCUGACCGUUUUAGAACUGCUGAUUCCCAGCACCUACUUUUACUGACAGAACAGAGGAGUGCUUUUUGGGUAAUGUGUCCAGAGUCACCCCAAACUUCCAUGUGGAGCCUGAAUCUUUGAAGAUGCAGCUAUGUCAGGCAAAAGAAAAGAUCAUUUCUGGCCUUAUACCUACUGAUCAGGGUGAAGAACAGAAUGAGAAAUGGGAACACUGCAAAGAAACUUACAUCAUUUUGACUCACUGGUAGUUGCAAUCCUUAGAAAAGCAGCCCUUCCCAGUGUGAGGUUACUUUGAAAUGAACUGAAGGAGACCUUCAUGUAAAGAGAGUACACUGGGUUCUGCAAGGCAGAUUCUGCCUAAUGAUUUCCAUAGACUGUUUUCCUGGGAAGAGAAUAAAAUAAACUCUGAGAAAAUGGCAGAGAACUGCCCAGACCACAUAAACAUUCUUGCUCACAUGAAGGCAUUUGAUUCCCCUUUGUGAGAAAUAAAGACUCACCCAGGUCUCUGCGGGGGAAGCUAAGAUCAAUGUGAUGGGCUGAAUGCUAGUGACUUCUGUGCUGCUGGAAGAAAUUGCUUCCUCGGGAUGCCAAAGGCCAAGCUUUGCCCAGGCAGGCUUCUACAAGGCAAGCCAGAGAGUAGCAGCAGUGUGACUUCCCCCAAGGCAUGGGAGGAAUGCUCCAUUCUUCAAGUACAACUGCAAGCUGUGCUUCCCUAUUCAAGUCUCCUCCUUGAACUUGGUGCUGUCACAUGGCAGACAGUAGUUAUAUCUUGAAAGCAAGAAAAUGUAAUUUUAAUGUACAAUUUCUUCACCCAGGAGGAAUCCUUGCUUGUCUUCUUGGAAUGAUUAUUCACAUUGUUUGUCAGAAAUAUCUGAUAGUGAGAGACAUUUUGAUUAAAUUAUAUGUACCACAGUAGAGAUAUAAUGUGUCCAUUAACAUGAUGUGUGCAAUAAGUGAAAAACACAUAAAUAUUUAUGCCUUUAAUAAAAUAGGAUUCAAGAUAAUGUGGAAAAUAUCACUGUUAUCAUUAAUGAAUAACAAUAGACUUAGGAAAAUUAUUUUUAAGGGAAUAUACAAAAUAAUGAGUGCAUCAGCAGCAGGAUAACUAUGGCUCAUAACAUCUAGUCGACUAUUUCAAAAUAGCUAGUAGAGAUUUUGAAUGUUUCCAAACCAAAAAAUGAUAAGAAAUUG